GUAAGUACCCCUUUUGUUUUGAUUUGUCUUCCAAAAGCAGCAGGGUCUUUGGUUGGUUGUCUGCCAAAGCUUCACUAUUGUUUAAUACCUGGAUUUCAUCACACCAAAGUGCUUCCCUUUCUGAGAAAAAUAGAUGCCCUAGGGAACUAUUAAUCACAGCCCCUGUAUAUUUCUAGUGUCUUGUGAGAAAAGAUUCUGAGAGACAGGAUAGAGAGAGAGAGAAAGGGAGGAGAGAGAGAGAGACAGACAGACAGACAGACUAAGGUUUAGAACUUCUAGGAAACACCCCCCUCCCACCAGUCGUCCAAUGGCCACACUUCCCAGCCUGCCAACAACUCUGCACCACCUCUCUUACUUUUCUAGGGUUUUCUAUGAUUCACAAUGACACACCUCCAACAAGGCAUAUAAAAGGGUGUUUUCCUUUCUUUU
rnacentral:lncRNA from 1 species